rfam:Candidatus Komeilibacteria bacterium RIFCSPLOWO2_02_FTLL_48_11 rifcsplowo2_02_scaffold_1958, whole genome shotgun sequence.
GCGCACACACUCAAGUGUAAACGGUGGAUGCCUAGACACAAGAAGCCGAAGAAGGACGUUGCAGGGUGCGAAAAGUCUCGGUGAGGUCCCAAGCAACCUUUGACCCGGGAAUAUCCAAAUGGGGAAACCCAUCUCGAUUGAAGAUCGAGAUAUCCAUGUCUGAAUACAUAGGACAUGAGAAGGUAAGCUGGCGAACUGAAACAUCUUAGUAGCCAGAGGAAAAGAAAAUAAUACGCACGGAUUUUUUUAUGACGCAUGAAUGCUUUGAUGCGUCAUAAAAGGUUCGUGCUCCAUUCCCAGAGUAGUGGCGAGCGAAAUGGGAGGAGCUAAAACCUUAUCAACUGAUUUGUCUCUCCCCGCUUUGCGGGGGCGGACGAUGGAAGGCUGUGUGGCCACAUGUUGAUAGGGGGUGGCGAGAAUAUUGCGUUUGCAUGCACACACCAAUGCUAGAUAGAGUAUACAAGCAUAACUUCCCUAGUAGAAUCCGCUGAAAAGCGGAACCAAAGAAGGUGACAGUCCUGUACGCGAAAGGGGUUAGCGCUCUAUGGCAGUGUCUCUCAAGUACCACGGGACUCGAGAAAUCCUGUGGGAACCCGGCACGACUAUGUGCCAAAGCUAAAUACUUCUUGUGAUCGAUAGUGAACCAGUACCGUGAGGGAAAGGUUAAAAGCACCCCGGUGAGGGGGAUGAAAUAGUAUCUGAAACCGUUUACUUACAAAGAGCCGGAGUCCCGCGCAAGCGGGGUGACGGUAUUCCUAUUGAAGAAUGAGCCAACGAGUUCAUGCCUACUGCUUGCUUAAGCUCCUUUGGAGUGAAAGCGCAGGGAAACCAAGUCUUAACGGGCGCAUGCCCCGUCUUAUGACGGGGCGGUAGCAGGCAUGAGACCCGAAGCCGGGUGAGCUAGCCAUGGGCAGGGUGAGUCCACUGUAACAGGUGGAGGAGGCCCGAACCCACCAGCCGUACAACACUGGGGGAUGACCUGUGGCUAGGGGAGAAAUUCCAAUCGAACUCGGCAAUAGCUGGUUCUCCUCGAAAUAGUUUUAGGACUAGCCUCUUGUAUACCCGCGGGGGUAGAGCACUGAAUGGGAUGAGGUGGCGUAAGCCUACUCAUCCUAACCAAACUCCGAAUACCGCGGUUCCCGCCUCUUCGGCGGGCACGUUAAGCAAGAGAGUCAGACCGUGGGGGCGAAGCUCCAUUGGUCAAAAGGGAUAAUAGCCCAGAUCGUAAUCUAAGGUCCCUAAGUCAUGGUUAAGUGGGAAAGGCGGUGUUAGGACUUACACAACUAGGAGGUUGGCUUAGAAGCAGCCAUCCUUUAAAGAAAGCGUAAUAGCUCACUAGUCCAGCCCUUUCGCGCCGAAAAUUCAACGGGGCUAAACCAUGCACCGAAGAUACGAAUGUCGGUGCUACGCACCGACGCGCGGAUAGGCGCAGAUAUUUACGCAGAUAGACGCGGAUAAUUUCCGCGUUAAUCCGCGUAGUUAUCCGCGUAAAUCAGCGUGCCGAUGCGUAGCAGCGGCGUGGUAGAGGAGCAUUUCAGCAGCGCUGAAGCGUACGCCGUGAGGCGGCGUGGAGUUGCUGGAAGCGAGAAUGUUGGCAUAAGUAGCAAAAAGGCUGGUGAAAAACCAGCCCGCCGAAAAUUCAAGGUUUCCUGGGCAACGAUGAUCGGCUCAGGGUUAGGCGAUCCUAAGUCGAGGCCGAAAGGCGUAGGCGAUGGAAGAGCCGGUUAAUAUUCCGGCCCUUGUGUCUGUUUCCGAUGGGGGGAAACAGUUUUAACUUUCUGAACGUUCCCAUGGAUUGGGGCGUUUUUCCCUAGGGCAGUUGUGCGGUUGGCAAAUCCACGCACCCGACUGUCCUUAGGAAGAAGAGGAGAAGCCUUUGGGUGGAUCCAAUUCGGAGACGCGAGCUGUCAAGAAAAACCUCUAGGGUUAAACAGGCACAAACCGUACCGUAAACCAACACAGGUGAGUAAGUCGAGUAGACUAAGGCGAACAAGAGAACUCUCGUUUAGGAACUAGGCAAGACAGCGGCCGUAACUUUGGAAUAAGGCCUGCCUCCGUAGCUCCGCAAGGAGCGAAGGGGGCCGCAGCUAAAGAUCUCAGGCGACUGUUUAUCAAAAACACAGGUCCCUGCUAAACCGUAAGGUGAUGUAUAGGGGCUGAUGCCUGGCCAGUGUCCGAACGUUAAGGGGAGAGGUGCAAGCCUUGAACCGAAGCGCGGAUGAACGCCGGCAGUAACUAUAACUGUCCUAAGGUAGCAAAAUACCUUGUCGGGUAAGUUCCGACGUGCACGAAUGGCAUAACGAUCUGAGAACUGUCUCAACGAGUGACUUGGCGAAAUUGCAAGAUGAGUGAAGAUGCUCAUUACCCAUGGUUAGACGAAAAGACCCCGUGAAGCUUUACUACAACUUGGUAUUGGCAUGCGGAUUUUCGUGUUUAGAAUAGGUGGGAGACU